GGGAGCAUUCCAAGGGCAAGGGAUCCAAGAUUCCCAGGCAGAAGCUACAAGGCAUAUUCUGACCUGUCCUCAGAAGUCCCAGAGUGUCGCUUCUACCGCAUUCUCUUGGACAAAGCAAGUCAAGUAUUUCACUUGAAAUUUUAUAAAACUUAGGAAGCAAAUAAGAAAGCAUGCAAAAUCACUUUAAAUAAUUGUCAUAGAGCUGUUUGGCUCAGAUUGGUGUGCAUUACUGUGUGUAUAUAUCUUAUCUCUAGAAUUAAAAAAAAUUAAAAGAUAGUUGCAACAAUUUUUUUCUUACAGGUAGUUUUUCCUGAAUUUUUAAAUUUUUAAAAAUUAAACAAAAACUUUUUUGCAGAAUAUUGCUUCCUUUCAUCUUCUCCGGAGCUAUCAUGGUGGCUGAGCCAGGUCUCAGGGAAGCUUUGGGAUAGGGGAGCUGAUGUCAAGCAGCCUGUUGCCUCCCUGCCUCUUUAUGGAGCCUGACUCCCCUCCCUGUAGCCAGUUCACAUGUUCCUUCAUCAACAAAGGCUUCAAGAAUGGCCACUGGUGUGUUCCAGUUUAAAAGAAAGCAUUGGAACAGUAGCCAUCAAGAUAUAACACUGUCAUGCCAGAGAAUAAUUCCAGUGAUAUGACCAUUCGGCCCAAAAAAAGAAAGUCUGAGAAGUCAUCAAGACAAUGUCACAGCUGCAGGGGACCCCACUUGCUCUGUCCACCUCGGGAAGAAGAUGAAGUGGGCGCUGGCAUACGCCAUGGAGAGGGUGGCGGAGCCUGCUGCUGGAGCAGUUUUCACUGUGACGGACUCCCCGAGACUCUGGAUGUCCCGCCUUCUCACCUGUGACACCGAUGCGAUCAUGCCUUUGGAUUUACCCUUCCGACUCAACUGGCGCCUUUCACUGUGUCUGCUACAGACUCACCUUCAGGCUUUGCACCAUAUUCCAGUUGCAUGUUUCUGCGGUCCUGAGAGAUUAAAAAUGAUGUGUUCUUGGCACAGCUGGCACUCACACCAAAGGGAGAGAAACAGCAAGCCACACCCAAAAGAGGAAAAGAACCAGAACGAAAAUUCCACAAAAAAGAAGCUCAGAGCAAAGAAUGAGAUUAUUUUUCCUGCCCAUAAUAAUGGAGUUCGAAUGGGGCUUUCCCAGCACAGAGAAUAAUAGCCCUUUCUUUUUCACAUGUGGUUGUCCGCAGCUGUAAUUCAUUUCACUAGCGUUCUAAUAAGGUGAGAUAGCUCAGUAAUGAAUUUUAGUCAUAACCUUCAUUGAUAAUACAGUUUAAAAACUUACAUCUGGAUAAUUUACACACACAUACAUUCUCCAAAAGAAAUAGAUAUAGACACUGUUUUGAUAAAACACUUUACUUUCCUUAGUAUUGUGGCCCCUGAAUCUGAUGAUAUGUGCUUUGAAUGUGAAUAUAUUUCUUUUAUAAAUGAUUAUUCAUCUUUUCCCAUUUCAUCAGGAGCUCCGUGGCAUUAAUUCUCUCCUACUAAAAAAAGAAACCACUUUUAAAGUUAGGUUAAGAGCAUUGUUUCCCCUUCUUUUAAUACUUCUUAAUAACUGACAUAAAAGUAGCUUAUGUCCGACUUCUAGAAGAAUCCAUGAGAGCCAAGGAAGACAUGAAAGGGUGUUGUCAUUUAAAAAAAAUUCUCUAUUUUCUGAAGUCAUCUAUAUACAUGAUUUUGUUUCCUUUAGAGUAGAGAAAUGUGAAUUUAUGACGAAAUCUAAGGCCUAGAGGAAAGGUAAUGACAAAUUAAAAGGAAAAACAAGUUAUUCAAAAAAGUAAACAGAGCAAACGAUGGUAAAUUUAGAAGUGAGGUCAAAAGAGGAGAAUCUGAAACAUCUCUUGAUAAUAGUCCUUUAAUUUCCGAAUUUAGUAUGUUUAAAUUUUUCAAAUGUGCUUUCUGAAUUUUCAUUGAUAGGUUGAAGGGAAAAGGACCAGAAAUGUCAGCAAAUCAUUCUUGUGACAUAAUUUUUAUCAUUCUUUUUGAGUAAGGCAAGAUUUUUCUUUCACCUUCACAACACUGCCAAAUACAUUUUAUUUAGAUUUUCUCAAGCAGGAGUUUAGACUGAUGUUUGUGUGACUGAAGCCUGGAACAGCAUCAUCACGGAGGUUACAAGAGUGUUAAUUGCAUCUAUUAACCCUAACUGCCUUUCAGGCAUUAUUUUUUUAAUUCUUCUGAAAAAUUCUAUAAGGCACAUACUUUGCAAAUAAGAAUGGUGAGUCUUAAACAAUGCUAAAAGUGGAACUAGAGAUGGAAGCAGAGGUCUGCCUGUCUCUAAACCCAAAGUACCAAAUAACUCCCAUGUUGAAGUCAACAAGCCGAUAGAGACAGAAGGAUGGAGGAAAGGAUGGAAGAAAUAUGCUUUAAAAUAAGGCUCUUUCUCAGAGGUGUUAGUGAAUAGGCUUGGGAGUUAACAUUGGAAGUAGUUGUUAGUGUGGCAAUCAAAGUAAAACUUGGGUUUGGAUUUAACUUAAGGCUGGCAUUAGAAUUAGGAUUUUCUUGAAGGUUUGGGGUAGGGAUUGCUUCUACAUUUGUGAUGAAAAUAGAGGUUCAGAGUGGAGUUUGCAUUAAGUACUAGGGAGGGUUUGGAACAAGGAGGUUGUAUUAGUCCAUUCGCACACUGCUGAUAAAGACAUACCUGAGAAUGGGUAAUUUAUAGAGAAAGAGAGGUUUAAUGGACUCACCGUUCCGUGUGGCUGGGGAGGCCUCACAAUCAUGGCAGAAGGCAUGUCUUACAUGGCAGCAGGCAAGAGAGAAAAUGAGAACCAAGAGGAAGGGGUUUCCCCUUAUAAAAUCAUCAGAUCUGUAAGACUUAUUCACUACCAUGAGAACAGUAUGGGGGAAACCGCCCCCAUGAUUCUGUUACCUCUCACUGGGUCCUCCCACAACAUGUGGGAAAUAUGGGAGAGAUUUGGGUGAGGACACAGCCAAACCAUAUCAUCAAUAUCAACUAAACUUUCCUGAUGAUAAGAAGUACGUGGGCAGUUGCCAAAAACCACAAAUUCCUGGUGCUUAUACCAUUCACAGUUGUGCUAAGUUGAGUCUGAUCAUCAGGAAAGCAGGGGCUGCUGGGCAUUGCUCACAACCUUGUCUUAUCAUGAGAAUCAUCUGAAGAGCUCUUGAUAAAUACUGAUGCUUGAGCCCACCCCUCAGUUAAAUCAGAAUCUGACAAGGGCCGUUAUUAUGUUUAAAAAAUUCUCCAGGUGAUUCCAAGGGGAUGCAAGAGGUGAAAUCCCAGAGAAAUGGUUAGACAUGAAAAGAGAUAUUUCUUUCUUUUUUUUUUUUUUUUUUUGAGACAGAGUCUCACUCUGUCACCCUGGCUGGAGUGCAGUGGCACAAUCUCGGCCCACUGCAACCUCUACCUCCUGGGUUUAAGCGAUUCUCCUGCCUCAGUCUCCCAAGUAGCUGGGAUUACAGGCACCUGCCACCAUGCCUGCCUAAGUUUUUGUAUUUUUAGUAGAGACAGCAUUUCACCGUGUUAGCCAGGAUGGUCUCCAUCUCCCUACCUCAUGAUCUACCCACCUCGGCCUCCCAAAGUGCUGUGAUUACAGGCAGAAGCUACUGCACCUGGCCAGA
rnacentral:lncRNA from 1 species